GGAAACUGUAGUGUACGUCUGUAAUCCCAACCUCCUGAGGCAGGAGGAUCAGGAGUUCAAGGUCGCUACCUGGCUACUAACCAACUUCAAACAACAGUGGGAGGGGUGGAAUAAAGAAAGUAGGGAGGCUUGCUUAGGAGAGAACUCCUUUGUCUUGUAUAGAUACUAUGUAAUUACCAACUCCUCCUGAAAGGGAAACCACAAAGAAAGACAGUGUGCAGACUUUUUAAAAGGAAGAUUCUCAGCAGGAGGGUGAUGGCAAGCAAAAGGCUGGGCACUUCUUGAGCUGUGUGGAUUUCUGGGUUCUGAGCUCACCUGCUGUGUGAUUUGGGCAGUGCAAAGAGAGGCAGACAGAGAGGUCUGUGCAAUUCUUAGGAGGAAUUUUCUAUAGUGAGGGGGCAAGGAGAGGGAGAGAGGAGACCAUGAUUUCUGUGAGUUUAACAGUGAGGGGGCUGGACGGGAAUGGACAGCAGCUACAGGUCCUCUAACAUUAGGCAGGGGACCUAGGGCUUCAGUCACGGGGCUAGAUCUUCCCAGCUCAGUUCGUGCCUCGGCCUCCCUGGGAAAAAUGAACCCAAUCGCGCAUGCUUACUUCGCGAAGCAGCCAGCAGGAGAUAGGCACCUGAAUGCUGGCCAAGUUACCUGGCCACCGCGAGGGAGGAAGAGGCAAAUCGCCGGCCUCUGGGAGGCACUGUUGUCUCGUGCUUUCCCUCCAGCAGCGGUGGCUUGGAGGGGUGGCAAGGUUUCACCCUAGUUGGACUGUCUUGACCACCUCAGGCACACUAACGCUCGACCCAAACCUGAUUCCCUUAAAGGAGAAGAUGGAUCCCCAAAGCAUCAGUGACCAACUGUAUCAAUGCAUGGAAGAAGAGAGUUUUGAGACAGAGGCCUGAAAUAAUUCUGCACCUCCCUUGCCCGCAAGCCAGCAGGAGCAGAAAGAUCGCUGCAAACAACCCAUUUCAGGCUGCAGAAGCUUUUUCAUAGAUCCAAAAACCCAUCCGGACUGGUGGGGGAAAGAAGAGCCUGCUAAGCGCUGGUCCCAAACAGCAAAUGCUCCCUAAAUACUCCCUCCAGCACCAAAGGGGAGGACCAUUGCUCCAAGUUGCUUUCAAUGACCAGAGCUUAGCAGGUACCCCAGUUUAGAAGACUUAGAAACUUGACUGCCUAGACCUCCAGAUCCUUCCAGCUUACCUCUCUGAAACAGGGACCUUUGCCUCAAACAUUUACCCAGAGUGAAAUCUCGCUGGUCUGAGGGAACCCAUAGAUGUAGAAAUCUUAGAAGAUUAAAAAAAAAAAAGUCUUCACCAGAUAAUUCAGUUCAGUUUUGAAAGGUUUUCUUUUAAUGAUAAGAAGUUCUAAAUGAGGCUUCUAAAAACCUGUGAAACUUUCUCCUACCACAAGAUACAAGUACUUUGUUGUUGCUAACUGGAAGCCCGGGAAAGCCAAAAGAAGACAACGAAGGUGAUUUGGAGACAUGUAUUUUCCCUGGAGUCACAUCUGAUGAUAGGGAUCUCAAAUACAAUACAGGUAAAUUCAGAUUGAGUUGUAUGUCCUCUCAAUAAGUGAGGCAAGAUGUGGGGUUAUGUAUUUUGGAAGCAAAUCUAAAAUUCGUUUAGUCCUCAGCUGCCGAAGAAUACAAUGAAGUUCACGUUUCAAUUGUCCUGAACCCAACCAAUGCUUUAUAAAUAAUCGGAAAACUUAUCCUUAAAAUGUGUUACUUUAGGGGCACAGGUAGAGUCUUAGGAAGUUAAAAAAACAAAACAAUUCCAUUGGAAUGUCUCUAUUUUUUUUUUAAACUGUCUCCUUCAGAGGAAAAGUUCAGUCUCUCCUGCACUAUUUGGGGGGAAAUGCUAAGACACUGAAAGGGAAACGGUGGGGAGAAAAGGAAUAUUUAGUUUUGACCUCCAGAGUACCAAGCUCUGGCCACGAACAGGAGGCAUUGCCAAGGAGACAGCCCCCAUCCCUUUGCCAGGCGCCUCUCCAACUCUGCUGGGGUGGAGACCAGGGCUGAAAAAGCCUGAACACGGAAGUUAGCCCUUCGUGGAAAGCCUAUCUGCUGCAAGAAUUUUGCACACCCUCAAAAUAUUUUUUCAGGUCUUCCCCGCGGCUCUAAACUGAGGGGCAAUCAUUCCUCUGCUCGACUCUUAUGGGAAUUAGCUUCAGUGGGUUUCAUAACGUAGAAGGUGUGGGGAAUUAGUUUAAAAAUAUUCUUGUAUAUCAAAAGCAACAUUAAUUUACCCAACGCUUUCUUUGUCUAGGGACUCAUCACCCGCCUUCACCAACCCCAAAGCAGGACCUUUGUAAAAAUCCCUGAACAGAGAUUUUUCCCAGCCUGAAAAAGGUGCAGGUUUGGGUGUCUUCCCAGAGAGGAGGGCUGGCUUUGGCACUUAGGACGCACUCUGUAAACUUAAACUCCGGGGUGGUAGAAUAAUGUUUAUGCGCCGUGAACACUUGCAAGCGGCCAAAGUGGGGUUCCAAGCGGAACUCCGCAACAGCGAAGAGUCACCUUUACACCUUGCCCAAGCUCCCGAACUUGAGCAGGACCUCAUUUGCUUUUCAAGCACAUCACUGCAGGCGGAGACUGUAUCUCUGCCUAACCAGGGAAAAGUCUCGGGCUAGGAAGCUGCCCUAAAUAGUCAUGCAAAUAGGAGGUGAGCCACCCUCGAAUUCCCCUUGGGCCUAAGCCUGCACCUUCCCUGAGCUUCCCCUUCCCCACUGCAUGUCACAGGAGCGGAGACCCUUCGUGGAGCGGCCGCGCACGCGCACCAGGAGCUCCAAGGUGAAGGCAGUCCCAGUAAACCGUGAAGCGUUGAGCACAGACCUGGGCGUUUGCAACCCGGAGGACGGAUCGCCGGAUCCCAGAGGCUAGGAGGGGCAGGGGGAGGGGCAGAGAAGGCUGUAGACGGGCCAGGGCUGCGGGUAGGCGCCAGGCGCGGGGAGAUGAAAGGCGGGCUCCGGGGGAAGGGGCUGCGCCGGGUGACCGGCUCCAGCCGCGCCGGGCGCCCCGCCCCCGCUGCCCGGGGCAGAGGCGGCUGCCCGCGCCGGAGCCGCGUUAAUUGCUCUCGGCCCGGCACUCAGCCUUCGCGGAGCCAGGACAACCUCGCUCCAGGAGGAAUGACAAUUCGCCCUAAUGGGACAACCUCACUCCCGGAGGAGUGACAAUUCCUUCUAAUGGGCCGCUUGUUAGAGGCCUAUUCUCCGAACCCGGGUAUCAGAAGCGGGCAGACAAAUGGGCGCCAAGGGCCGCCAGGAAUUCCACCACUGCCCUCCAAUCCGUGGACAUUCGCUGUGUGACUUCGGGCAAAAGAUGGCACCUCUCUGAGCUCAUUUUCUUUUUUUACCUGUGCGCUGUGGGAAGGAGGGAUAAGGCAGAUCAAACCUCCAACUGGGCAGACAAAUCCGGAGGGAGCUGGAGGAAACCCCCCUGAGAGCUCCUCAGCAGGGAAUUUAGGUAGAUACUCGGGGUCAGGGUAGGAUUUCCUUAGGCCUGUUCGUUCAUAUACUUAUGAUGCUAAACAAGAGGCUGGAGGGGAAGGGCUUUGGCUACAGCCCUACCUAGCUGGUUGAAGGUCUCCAGAGAGGCAAGUUUUGUUGGCUUCCUGACAGUGGAAGUUGAGGGGCAGAAGAGAGAGGGGCUUGAGAACUCAAUCCCACUCUGAACCCCUGGAAGAGGCCCAGGAACAGAGGACUGUUGAGUGAGACUCACAGGCAAGCCGCACCUCUGCUAGGCCUGGAGCCUGGAGAGAGAGAAUGGCCAGUUCUUGGAGUCCUCACUUAGCUCCUGGCUCAAAUGUGACAGUGGCCAAGGGGGUAAUGAGCUCCGGUUCUGAGCCUUUGUAGACCUGUUCUCAGGCAGAGCCCCUUCUUGCCUCUGACACCGCUGCCUUCUCGGUUUCCUCUUUCAGAGCGGAGCAUAAGUCACCUCACCUUUGUAGCAGGAUGGGGUGGUCACCUGUAGUACGGUAGGUAGCAGUCAGCAAACGUUGGCUAUCUCCCAAGUCAUUGUCUUAGCUCUGUAAGUAUCUGCUUACCUCUCCUCUCCACAGUUCUUGGCAAGGCACACAUCUGGAUGUGUUGAUGGGGGUUAGAGAUCUUGAGUGCAGAAGUGGAGGACUGUUGGGCCCCUGGUAAUAGGUACCUACCCCUUCAGAGAUUCACCCAGUAUGUCUAGUGAGACAUGAGGGCUAAAGGAAAGCGAAAUAGGUUAGAAACAGCAGAUAGUGUCUCCCAGGCCCUGAGCACAGCUUCCUGACAACUCCUCAGUUUCUGUCUCCAUUGGGCAGGAGCAAUACUGUAGCUCAGAUUUAGCAAAGAAAACAAACAAAACAGAACAAAAGCAAAAACCAAAGAAACAAAUCAGUCCCCUGGAAAAUGGUUCUAGGACAUUGCAUGGUUGCAGCCAUGGGAAGACACCUGAACUAUUUAGGAGGCUCUUAGAGCAUCUUACACAAGUCUUUGCUCUCAUCCUCUUCAUGCUACCCGUGUACAGAGCCAGGGUAACUACUAUAUGGCCUUGGUUGUUUUUUAUUUCACUUUCCUUACUGGGCUCCACCUCAGUCCCGGAGUCAAGCUUUUCAUAUGGGUCCAUAAAUGUCAGUUCCUUUCUUGUUUCUCAAACAACCCUGUGGAGUAGGGGAUCCUUGUCCCUCCCAGUGAAGGAGAAAACUAAAGCUUCAUUAGAGUUUUUCUUGAAGCUAGUGGUAGAGAUGUCAACCAGGGGUUGGCUGACUUUAGACUUCAGGUAUCUCGCCAGGCAGCAUUGCUGCUCGGGCAAAGGAUGAUGCUACUGGAAUAGCUCAGAGUGCUGAAGAAUUUAUGAUUUCCAUUUCUCCACCCCAGCUUAAUAGAUAGGCGGGUGAGUCUGAGAGGAGCUUAAAUAGGGGCCUCAGGAAAAGAGAGCCCUAGUCUAUGGAUUACUACUACCCUCGUAGGAAUCUCAGACAUAUUUUAUUCAGUGACAUCCACAUUCUUUUACAUCAGAACAAUGGAAAAGAAAAAGA